AAAAAAAAAAAAAAAAAAAGAAAAAAAAAAGAAAAAAAAAGAAAAAAAAAAGGAAAAAAAAAAGAAACACUUAAGUACAUAUCCGUUUUAUCAAAUACCCGCCGAGUUGGCAAAUUUAUUCAAAUAUUUAAAAAAAGCAAAAUAAAGAGGAAACAGAAAAGGAAAGGAAAGGAAAGAAAAGAAAAAUGAUUCGAUAAAAAAUUGUCGUUGAAACGAACGAGGUCAAAGAGAUUGCUUCAUCGAAAACAUUUUUCAGAGACAUUAAGAGAACAGGAAAAAGGAGAGAGAAAAAAAAGAAAAGACUAAUUACUAUCGCAAGUAAGAAGAGAUUCGAGAUAUGAGAUUAAAGAGCUAAUUUGUUAGAUUGUUAGAUGUUCCUCCGUGAGAUCUCGUAAAACAGACGGAAGUUAUGUUCCAUCGUUAGACACUUUUCCCAACCGCAAAGUAUCCUUUCAUCGCAUAGAUCUUUCUUUUCUUUUCUCUUUUCUGUUUGUUUGUUUGUUUUCUUUUUUUUUUUUUUUCUUUUUAUGUCUUUCCUCUUCCUCUUCCUCGUCGUCGUCGUCGUUCUCUUCGUCGUUGGAGGGCGUCGUUGAACGAACCAUAACCGAGAGGAAAAGGGUAAAGAAGAAGAGAAAAGAGAAGAGAUGAAAAGAGAAGAGAUGAAAAGAGAAAAAGUGAAGAUAAAAAGGAAUCUCACGUGGCGUGCACCGAAUCUCGACUUUGCGAUCUACGCCGUUGCGAUGUCGGUUAAUUAAAUGUUACGCAAUCGUCGUUGGCGAUGAUGUUAUCGCGUAUUACGCCCGGUAAUCGCCAGUUGGAAGACUGUUUUUUUUUUCCGACGUUUAUUUUUGUCGUCUUUUUUUCUUUUUUCCUUUUUUUUUUUUUUAUUCUUUUUUUUUCCUUCUUUAACGGUGAACUUCGAUAUAGACGUACGAAGAAAAAAAUUGUUUGAAAAUAAUUUGGAACAUUAGAAAUAUCAAAGCUUUCCCUUUAAACUCUAUUUUCAUCCUCGGAUUCCUCCCCUUUAACGGGAAUAUAUCUCGCUCAUUGCAUAACUCUUACAUUGCCAUUUUUAUCGCGGUGAAAAAAAAAAAAGAAAAAAAGAAAAAAAGAAAAAAAGAAAGAAAGAAUGAAAAAUCAGUAAAUGAAAAGUGUUCUUACGGAUAUUUUGAACGAAGGAUCGAUUUUUCCCUUGGCGAUUGACAAUUGAAAGUAAACGAUAUAUCUGUACAUUGACAUGGAUUGAUUAUUAUACGAGUAUAUAAUAAAUAUACUUAAUAAAAAUAAUAAUCGUAAGGUCGAUUAUUAAUUAAUUCUCUUUUAAUCAUGAUAAUCAAGAAAUUAUCCUCGUAGUCGUGGAUCGUAACAUUCGAGAAGCCAACUCCCGCGAGACGUGGGUGCCUUUGUUUUCUCCCCCAAUGUCGAGGAGGAAGAGAUGAAGGUGGAGUAGGAGGAGGAGAAGGUGGAGGAGAGAUGGUGGUGGAACGUUUCUGUGCGCCAUUAACGAAGCAGACGAGCGGAGCAAAGCAGAAGCUAAUAGAUCUGAUUCGAUAUCGCGAAGCAGCAAGAAGGGUUCCGCAAGCGAGCGAGCGAGUAAGCAUAGCUAUAGCUCGACUAUCGUGGCUUCUCUCUCCUUUUCUUCUUCUCUUCCUUCUUCCUUCUCUCUUUUCCCUUACAUCCCUUUCACUAUUCUCUCUCUCUCUCGCUCUCUGUCUUCCUUCUUCUCCUCCUAUAAUUCUUCAACCCCGUCUCUUACAGUAAGAGGUACAGUGUAGUAAUUUAGAGGAGGACCCUCGCGCCUCGACUCGACCGAGCGAGACCUCGAAGAAGGCUAAGUUCGUUCUCAAGGUAAAGAAGAAACUUAGAAGACGGAAGUCGGAAGACUCUUCUGCUACUACUACUACUACUACUACUACUACUACUACUACUACUACUACUACUACUACUAGUAUUGUUACUGCUGCUUGUUGGUUGAUGCUAUAGUGCUAGUGCUGCUGCUAGUGCUCCUGCUGCUGUUAGAAAUUACGUUCAACCGAGUAGACGACCGAAGAAAGAAGAAUGAAUCGGUCGCAACAACCGUUAAUGGUUACUUUCCUUUUACUCCUUUGAAAGGCUUAGAAAGAUCAAAACUAGAGAUAUUAUUAAAAGAUACUAUUAUCAUGAUUCCUCCAUUUUCCAACUUCCUCGUUUAGAAAAGAUUUAUCCGAUUAGAUCAUCUCGAUCAUUUCUAUUAUUAAAUGAUAAAUAACGAUUAACUAUCUGAUACGAUAAGAACUAAUAAAAUGUAUAUCGAUAAAAGUGUAAUCUAUGUAAAAGAAUAUUUUUUUUUAAAUUGCAUCGAUUACGAUUCGAUCGUGUAACUUAAAGAACGGAGGAUUUCGACGAAGUCGAAAGUCGUUCAAUGUUGUGAUUUCGUUCGAUGGACGACGAGAAAAAGAAAGCAGGAAAAAAAAAGAAAAAGAAAAGAAAAAGAAAAGAAAAAAAUAAGCCAAUAAGACGUCAAAAGGUGUUGUCGAGACUAACGUAAAGGUGAGAAGGACGUAAGGAGUCCGGACACGAAGGUAAGUAUCUGGAUUGAUCGAGGUUGGGGUGGGUCGGGGUCGAGGCCGAGUCUAGCUGCUAGCUGACCGGCUGGCUCCUUUUAUCGAUCCACUUUUGAUGUACCCCUAAAGUGCACUAGAAUUGAGAGAUACAGUUGAUAUGGUUAACCCUUUGAAAGAUUCAACAAAAGAUACAAUGCUAAGGGAUCAUUGGUUAACCUCAGCCAAGGGUGACUUAUCUUAUAGUCAAAAAUCCCCAAAGAGAUAACGAAAGUUAGCAAACCCUGCUUGGAUACUAAAUCAAUAGAUAUUAAAUUUAACACCACGUAAAUUUCUAUUCGUUAAUCGACUAAUAUUAUUUAUUGAAAUAAUAUUUUGAUAAAAUAUUUUCAACCGAUAUGAGAAUAAUAAUCGACGAUUACUUCGUGUUCUAAGUAACGUUGUAAAUACAUAUUUCCGGUAUAAAUCAUUGUUGUUAAAAAUCCACGACGUACGAAAAUAGAAAGAGAGAGAGAGUGAGAGAGAGAGAGAGGGAGGGAGGGGGAGAGAGAGGGAAGAGCAAAGUCCAACACGCAAUAAUUUUCUGGCAAUGAAUUUUGUCGCGAAGCGAAAUGAGCUUUUAGCAAUUUCGGUGAGUAAGUACUUGAUGUUUUUGUACCCGACGUUGUAAAAUUAUUCGUUUCGCUUGAUUAUAACCUACGUUUCUAACAGAUUUAUUAAGUUGUACGGACCAAAAUACGUAUUACUAAAUCGAGCUUUAAAGACGACAUUUAAUGAAUUAAAUCGUCGCUUAAUUGUAACGUAGAUGGUAUAAGAAAUAAAAAAUUGAUAUAUGAAGGCAAAUCAAGCAUGCAUGUUGCAGUCAUGCAGUAAAGUUAGGUACCACGCGAAAGUAAAUCUCACGAAGAGGAGAAAAAAAAAAAAAAGAAAAAAGAAAGAAGAAAAAAAAUUUUGAUAUCAUAUUUUAUUCUAGUCUAGACAAUCAAAACGUUGGACGAAUCGGACCCCUCAGUUAUUUUCCAUCCGCCACGUAAGAAGCUCUAUAAAAACUCAACGAGGACUCUACGACGAUUGACCCUGACCUAUCCCCACGUAUAAAUGUCGUAAAAGAUCUCGAGACACGAGAUUUAAAGCCAAAUCCUAAGUGCUUACGCCUCUGACAAGAUCCCAUGAUACAGCCUGUCUGUCUGUCGUCUGACCGCACGAGACGAAGCUCUGGAACGAAUGACCGAAACAUUUCUUCGUGAGAUACCUUCUCGCCCUCAAACACCACUUCCGGCACGAUGAUGGCCACGACGAAUUUUGGUUACGCCGAAAUGCUUUAAAGGGACUUUGACCUUCUUUAAAUUCUUCUUAAUCAUCCCGUUAAUCCAAAAUAUUCUUAUUAUAUCUUAGCCUUGAACUUUAAUAUUAUCCUACAUUACGAAAAAUGAGUAUCAUAUUUGUCCACGAUUUAUUUUCUUUUUCCUGAUAAUUUCAAAUCGAUUUAAUAUGCAUCAUAUCGUAAAAAUAUAUAUAUAUAUAUAAUAACAUAUGUUGUUAAUAAAAUUAUUUAUACCUUAUAUACUUUAUACGUAUUGUUAAUAAAAUAAAUAAGAUGUUAUUUUUUUUUCAACUAUUAAACACAAUAGUAGUUUAUCUUCCGGCUUUCGAACAACAAUUCUGUUGUUCUCUUUUAUUUCAUUUUCUUUCCUCUCAUUCUCUCUCGACGGACAGUAUCCUCGAGAGAUUUCAAAGGACCGUCCAGUCAUCGAAGCUCUAGCUAGCUAGCUAGCUAGAUACCGUGGAGCGCGUGGGUGUUCGUUUUACGCUUCGAUCGUUUCGAGCGCGUUUUACGACAAUAACGCGUAGUCGGACGAGAGCGUUACAACGGCCUUAGCGUCCCGCGGCGCUCUCGAGAGAGUAAACACGAUGUUAAAACCCUUAACGGUUUCACGUCGGGUGUCGCACGGCCCACUCUAAGAUUCCUUCGAACCGAUCGAUUCGUAUAAUUCAUUCAAGAAAAAAAAAAAAAAAAAAAAACAAAAAGAAAAAAAGAAAAAAAGAUAACAGUACGAACGGAUAAUCAACGCUUUCAAUCUUACGAUUAUUUUAAUUACUUCGAUCUCGAUCAAUUGAUCCAAUUUAGAUGCAAUUAUUUAAUUGAUCCGAUUGAUGCAAUUUUCAAUAUUUGCAAAACACAAAAAGGAAAACAUUCGUAAAUGCGUUGACCGUUGAUUAUAACAAAAACGUGUUGUAACGGAAACGAUUUGCAAUAGAAAGGAUGUGUGCGUGUGUGUGUGUAUGUGUGUUUCAGAUAGAACAGGAUAGAACGUUCCGGUUUCUCUCUACAUCCUGUAGAAAGAGAGAAAGAGAGAGAGAGAGAGAGAGAGAGAGAGGCCACCAAAGAGGAUUAAUAAUUACGCUGUAAUAAUCCCGCUUAAGUGGAUGGACCAUGGCAGAGCAUGCAGGAAGCACGUCUUCUUCUCUGAACGGAGGAGGAUAUAGCGCAUAUAACGAUAGCUUUCGAACGACGUUUCAUCGUUUCCCCGUCACCGGCAUUAACGUAACUGUAGUAAUCGCGAACCGUAACGCGAAUGCCUACUUACAUCGCUUCGUUUUCCUUUCCCCCGUUCGAUUAGGAGCGUUCCGUUAGUUUCUAAAAAUAUCAAACUAAUGACUUAUUGAAAUUGUUUGAGCAAGGGUGCCUAAAAUCCUUUUUAAAUAUCGAUAAGAAAACAAAGACAUUUGUAAAUAUAAAACAAAAAGAAAGAUAUAUUUGUAGAUAUAAAAAAAAAAAAAGAAGAAAACAAGAGAAAUACUCCUUUAUCGUAGAGAAUUUUUCUCAUUUCUAUUUUGUUUUUCUUUUUCAUCAAUGAUAUCGUAAAAGGAAGAGUCAAACAUGACGAUCAUAGUUUUUAAUCCUUUUGAAAGAUAAUGUGAUCGUCAGAAUUCAUUCAUAAGAUUCGAUUCUCUUCGAAGUUUAUACGAUUACAAAAGAUUCUUCUUUUUUUAUAUACAUAUAUAUAAUACUUGUUUCGUGCGUAUGUCAGAAAAAAGAGAGAAAGAGAGGGAGAGAGAGUGGGAUAAAAAAAGAAAGGGAAAAGUUGAAAGAAGAGGAUUUGCAAGAGCGUGUCGGCGUGCAAAGUAAAUACUUAUGAGUCUCUCUCUCUCUCUCUCUCUCUCUCUCUCUCUCUCUCUCCCUAUCUCCCUCUCUCUCUCUCUCUCUCUCUCUCUUUCACCCCCGGGAAUCACUGAGAAGCCGCUAUACUGCGCUUAGACGCAUAGUACGCAUGCACUUAUGCACGCGUGCAACAAAGUAAGUAAAUACCGUACGUAUAUACAUACAUACAUACAUACAUACAUAUAUAUAUAUAUAUAUAUAAAUGGAUACAUUCAUAUAUACAUACAUACAUACAUAAGCGUAAGAAACGAGUCCUCGGAUAAUUAGAUACCCGAUACCUCCACCGUCCUCCGCGGUCAGUUUUGCGGAUCUUUCUCUGUGUAUAUAGCUCUUACCCUAAGGAACUCGACUGCCUUCGUUUGCGUUCUACCUACGCGAAAAAGAGAGACAGGGACAGGGGCAGAGACAGAGACAGAGACAGAGACAGAGACAGAGAGAGAGAGAGAGAGAGAACAUCGACGCGAUUCGAGUGUCUUCGAGCGUAGGUUUAACGGUGAGGCGGUAAAACGUAACAUUAGACGCGCCUCGUUACUAAUAAUACUUAUCCACUGCGACCGGAUUAAGUGCACCCGGGUCAGCGAUCUUUAGACUGAUAGAUAUUUUGUUUCUACAGGAACAAUGAAAAAUACAUAUUAUAAAUUAUUAAGUAAGUACAAUAUAUAUAUCUUAAUUGAUUACAAACCCGAUAGCGUUAAUCGAAUUUUCUUCGUUACGAAUCGAUAAUUGAAUUAUAUCAGACGUACAUAUGUAAGUACUUAUUUAUUUUAAGUAAGUUACUUAUUUAUUUUACGUACACAUGUAUAUCUACGUUUCGUAGUAUAUUUUAUUUGUAUUAAGACACCAAUCUAAUCGAGUCGAGACGAAAAGAAAUGAAACGAAACUUAUACGAAUCGUCGUGUAGAAUAUAUAUCGAUGAUUUCUUUUGGACUCGGAAUUCUAAUCGCUUGAUAAUUUGUUGUCUCGUCACGAAAUAACUGGCCGAUCGCCAUAAUGUUAAAAAAUAAUGAUAAUGAUUAGGUAUUUCCGACGAACGGGUCACUCGUACGGUUCUUCUCGUACGAUCUUAGCAUUAGAAGUUUUUUCUCUGUUACGUUCAUUUAUGUGAUUAUCAUUUCUUUCGAAUCGAUGGAACAAAGUCUUACAAAUCGAUAUUUACACGUAACGUUAAUCUCCUUUUGUAGAUAGACACGAGACAGACGAGACGUGAAAACGAGAAUUUUUUUCGUUCGAAAGAAUUGCCUCAGUUAUUUUUUUCCCUUUCUCUCUCUCUCUCUCUCUCUCUCUCUCUUUUCUUUUUUUUCUUUCUUUUUCUCUCUUUUUUUUUGCCGUAGGAAAACCUUUGAACACACGCUCUUGUCCUGGAACGCUCACGUAAACGAUUCUCGCACGACCCUCGGUUACGAGUCGGCGACCCUUUUCCCUUCCUGCCUUGGCAUCGGACGACGAUAGGGAAGAACAGUUCGCUAAUGUACAAAAGGAGACGCGUGAAAAGCGAUUCUCAUCGGGCGUCCACCUUCCUUUCUCUAUAACGAUGCUCAUGAGAGACCAUGGGAGAGAAAUGAAGAGACAAGGCAAGCCAGC